AAGUCGUAACAAGGUAACCGUAGGUGAACCUGCGGUUGGAUCAUUAUUGAUAGUUGAUUGAGGGUUUUGAGGUUAAAGUUUAUGACUUUUGCUUUAAAACUCUUUAAUUAAACCAAAAUUGUUAACCUUAAAAAGUCUUUAAUGGGUUAAAACGAGAAUGAAAUGUACUUUAAGUACUUUUUAUUUUUGAACUCAAUUCAGAGUUACCCAUUACUUUUAUUUAAACCAAUUGUAUCUUAAAAGUCAUUUAUUUUUAAACAAAAUUAAAAAACAACUUUUGACAACGGAUCUCUUGGCUCUC
rnacentral:misc_RNA from 1 species